AGCCUACGGGAGGCAGCAGUGAGGAAUAUUGGUCAAUGGUCGGGAGACUGAACCAGCCAAGCCGCGUGAGGGAUGAAGGUACAGAGUAUCGUAAACCUCUUUUGUCAGGGAACAAAGGCGGGGACGUGUCCCCGGAUGAGUGUACCUGAAGAAAAAGCAUCGGCUAACUCCGUGCCAGCAGCCGCGGUAAUACGGAGGAUGCGAGCGUUAUCCGGAUUUAUUGGGUUUAAAGGGUGCGUAGGCGGGACGGUAAGUCAGCGGUAAAAAUGCGGAGCUCAACUCCGUCGAGCCGUUGAAACUGCCGG
rnacentral:rRNA from 1 species